rnacentral:rRNA from 1 species
CUACGGGACGCAGCAGUGGGGAAUAUUGGACAAUGGACCAAAAGUUUGAUCCAGCAAUUCUGUGUGCACGAUGACGGUCUUCGGAUUGUAAAGUGCUUUCAGUUGGGAAGAAAAAAAUGACGGUACCAACAGAAGAAGCGACGGCUAAAUACGUGCCAGCAGCCGCGGUAAUACGUAUGUCGCAAGCGUUAUCCGGAUUUAUUGGGCGUAAAGCGCGUCUAGGUGGUUUGAUAAGUCUGAUGUGAAAAUGCGGGGCUCAACUCCGUAUUGCGUUGGAAACUGUCAAACUAGAGUAUCGGAGAGGUGGGCGGAACUACAAGUGUAGAGGUGAAAUUCGUAGAUAUUUGUAGGAAUGCCGAUAGAGAAGUCAGCUCACUGGACGAAUACUGACACUGAAGCGCGAAAGCAUGGGGAGCAAACAGGAUUAGAUACCCUCGUAGUC